UUACGGCCACAUCACAUUUAAACACCAGUUUCCAUAUGAUCACCAAAGUUAAGCAACAUUGAGCCUGGUCAGUACUUAGAUGGGUGAUUGCUUAGGCAUACCAGGUGGUGUAAG